rnacentral:rRNA from 1 species
UUUUUCUCCUUCGCACCUUACAAAAUAUGCUCACAGGCUUAAAAUUCACUCAAAUAAGGUACAGCCUAUUUGAGACAGGAGACAACCUACGACAUAGGGUAAUGCUCAACCAACGUGACCAAGUAGGCCCAAAAGCAGCCAUCUUUAAAAAAGCGUUAAAGCUUUACCACGCCCAAUUGUUAAUUCCAACCCACCCCCAAAGCCCAUCACUCGUACUGAAUGACUCUAUACUUUUAUAGAAGCCCUCAUGCUAGAACUAGUAACAAGAAUAUCUAUUCUCCCACAAAUGUAAGUGUAAGCCAAUAUGGACCCACCACCGGCACUCACCGCCAAUGAAUUAACAGUAACAACUUCCACAAGAAAAACCUACUUCACCCAGCGUUAACCUUACACAAGAACUUUUCUGGAAAGAUUAAAAAAAGAGGAAG